AGAGUUUGAUUCUGGCUCAGAACGAACGCUGGCAGCGUGGAUUAGGCAUGCAAGUCGAACGAGAAGCCCUGGUCUCAAUCUUCGGAGAGAAACCAGGGUGGACAGUGGCGGAAGGGUGAGUAACGCGUGGGCAAUUUGCCUCCGGAUUGGGGACAACUCCGCGAAAGCGGGGCUAAUACCGAAUAUGGUCUCCUGUCGCAUGACGGGAAGAUUAAAGAUGGGGAUUCUUCGGAACCUGUCGUCUGGAGAGGAGCCCGCGUACGAUCAGCUUGUUGGUGAGGUAACGGCUCACCAAGGCUUUGACCGUUAGCCGGCCUGAGAGGGUGAUCGGCCACACUGGGACUGAGACACUGCCCAGACUCCUACGGGAGGCUGCAGUCGAGGAUCAUUCGCAAUGCGCGAAAGCGUGACGAUGCGACGCUGCGUGUAGGAUGACGGCCUUCGGGUUGUAAACUACUGUCAUGAGGGAAAAACCAGCGAUGGGACAAUACCCCAUCGCUCUGAUGGUACCUCAAGAGGAAGCCACGGCUAACUCUGUGCCAGCAGCCGCGGUAAUACAGAGGUGGCUAGCGUUGUUCGGAUUUACUGGGCGUAAAGCGUGCGUAGGCGGUUCCGUGUGUCGGGUGUGAAAUCCCACGGCUUACCCGUGGAAUGGCACCCGAAACUGCGGGGCUAGAGUGCAGGAGGGGAGAGCGGAAUUCUUAGUGUAGCGGUGAAAUGCGUUGAUAUUAAGAAGAACACCGGCGGCGAAGGCGGCUCUCUGGAAUGUAACUGACGCUGAGGCACGAAAGUUGGGGGAGCAAACAGGAUUAGAUACCCUGGUAGUCCCAACCGUAAACGGUGUGAACUUGGUGUAGGGGGUAUUGACCCCCCCUGUGCCGGAGCUAACGCGUUAAGUUCACCGCCUGGGGAGUACGGCCGCAAGGCUAAAACUCAAAGAAAUUGACGGGGGCCCGCACAAGCGGAGGAGCAUGUGGCUUAAUUCGAUGCAACGCGAAGAACCUUACCUGGGCUUGACAUGGGGACCCUUCGGGGGUGGUAGCGAAAGUUACCUUUACCAUCACAGGUGCUGCAUGGCUGUCGUCAGUUCGUGCCGUGAGGUGUUUGGUUAAGUCCAGCAACGAACGCAACCCUUGUGACUAGUUACCAGCGUCGGUGAUGAGCCGGCAGGCACUCUAGUCAGACUGCCCGUACAAGCGGGAGGAAGGUGGGGAUGACGUCAAGUCAGUAUGGCCCUUACGCCCAGGGCUGCACACGUGCUACAAUGGUCAGUACAGAAGGAUGCAAAACCGCAAGGUCGAGCAAAUCCCCAAAAGCUGGCCCCAGUUCGGAUUGGAGUCUGCAACUCGACUCCAUGAAGUCGGAUUCGCUAGUAACGGCGUAUCAGCUACGACGCCGUGAAUACGUUCCCGGGCCUUGUACACACCGCCCGUCACAUCAUGAAAGCCGUCUGCACCCGAAGUCGCUGAGCCAACCCGCAAGGGAGGCAAGUGCCGAAGGUGUGGGUGGUGAUUG
rnacentral:rRNA from 1 species